UUUGGGGAGUCAAAAUUCCUUCACAAAUGUGUUGAUGGCUGGACAUUGCAUUAUCCUAGAAAACUUGGAGGCCAGUGAGGGCAAAAAUAAAAAGUUAUAAGACUUUUAAAUAUGUGGAUUUUAGGGUUAUCUUUGGCGCCCCCUAGAACCUAAACCGUGGGGUGCAGCGUCAUGAUUUGAAUAACUUUUAAUGGCCAUGGGGUGUAGAUUGGCCUGAGCAAAUGUGGUGCCGGUGGAACGAAAGCCUUCGGAGGAGUUAGCGAAAUUCCAAUGUGUGCGGAUCGGCAAAAAAUGCGCAAUAACCCUUUAACCGUACAUUUGACAGAUACGCCCGCACUGACUUUUUUGUAGAUCUUAUUGAGAUACAUAUGUGUGUCAAUUUUUGUGUCAAUAUGACAAAGCGUACAGGCGUGACAGUCAAUAGUGUGAAUUUCCACCUUAGGGGGCGCUAUGGAGCCAUUUUGCAUUUUAUUGUUUGGGCGACUUCAGAAUAUCGAAUUUUUCACCAGGCCCGGUCGUCCUGCCAAAUUUCAUGAGUUUUCGCCAGUGGGAAGUGGGCCAUUUUCCAGUUCAAAGGGGAGGAAAAAGAAGAGACUAGGGCCCCGGUGGGGCACUGUCGGGCCCGAGCCGCGUCGCGCCGCCCCCAGUGCGACCGCCUCCCCGUCCCGAUCGAGUCACACUCAAGAACCAAAGAUGGUGUGCGCACUUGUCUGUGGUCAUUUCCCAUUAUAAUGAAUGGGAGGCGCAGUUUCUACAAAAACACUCGCUGCAGACAAACUUCAUGUCCUAUUUGAAAAAAGUCUGGACCAUGAGUGAGGGCACAAACACAGCUAUGAUAUAUCGAAAUGCCAGGUUGCUCCUCCUUACGGUGUUGCCUGGAGAGCGAUGCGAUUGAGCCAUUGAGCGAUGGGCAGGAAAAACUUGACUUUUUCUCCUGCCAUAGGGGGGGGGAUGUGGAUUCUUUUAAGAAUGUGGAUUUUUGGGUCAUCUUUGGCGCCCCCUAGAACGUAAACCGUGGGGUGCAGCGUCAUGAUUUUUACAACUUUGAAUGGCCAUGGGGUGUAGAUUGGCCUGAGCAAAUUUGGUGUCAGUGGGACGAAAGCCUUAGGAGGAGUUAGCCACAUUCCAAUGUGUGCGAAUCGGCAAAAAAUGCAAAAUAGCCCUUUAACCGUACAUUUGACAGAUACGCGCGAAUUGACUUUUUUGUAGAUCUUAUUGAGAUACAUAUGUGUGUCAAUUUUUGUGUCAAUAUGAUAAAGCGUACAGGCGUGACAGUCAAUAGUGUGAAUUUCCACCUUAGGGGACAAGAAAAAAUUGACUUUUUUCUCCUGCCAUGGGGGGGCGCUCUUUUGGGGAGUAAAAAUUCCUUCACAAAUGUGUUGAUGGCUGGACAUUGCAUCAUCCUAGAAAACUUGGAGGCCAGUGAGGACAAAAAUAAAAAGUUAUAAGACUUUUAAAUAUGUGGAUUUUAGGGUUAUCUUUGGCGCCCCCUAGAACCUAAACCGUGGGAUGCAGCGUCAUGAUUUGAAUAACUUUUAAUGGCCAUGGGGUGUAGAUUGGCCUGAGCAAAUGUGGUGCCGGUGGAACGAAAGCCUUCGGAGGAGUUAGCGAAAUUCCAAUGUGUGCGGAUCGGCAAAAAAUGCGGAAUAACCCUUUAACCGUACAUUUGACAGAUACGCGCGCAUUGACUUUUUCGUAGAUCUUAUUGAGAUACAUGUGUGUGUCAAUUUUUGUGUCAUUUUGCCAAAGCGUACAGGUGUUACACUCAACAAUGUGUAUUUUCACCUUAGGGGACAAGAAAAAAUUGACUUUUUUCUCCUGCCAUGGGGGGGCGCUCUUUUGGGGAGUAAAAAUUCCUUCACAAAUGUGUUGAUGGCUGGACAUUGCAUCAUCCUAGAAAACUUGGAGGCCAGUGAGGGCAAAAAUAAAAAGUUAUAAGACUUUUAAAUAUGUGGAUCUUAGGGUUAUCUUUGGCGCCCCCUAGAACCUAAACCGUGGGGUGCAGCGUCAUGAUUUGAAUAACUUUUAAUGGCCAUGGGGUGUAGAUUGGCCUGAGCAAAUGUGGUGCCGGUGGAACGAAAGCCUUCGGAGGAGUUAGCGAAAUUCCAAUGUGUGCGGAUCGGCAAAAAAUGCGAAAUAACCCUUUAACCGUACAUUUGACAGAUACGCCCGCACUGACUUUUUUGUAGAUCUUACUGAGAUACAUGUGUGUGUCAAUUUUUGUGUCAUUUUGACAAAGCGUACAGGCGUGACAGUCAAUAGUGUGAAUUUUCACCUUAGGGGGCGCUAUGGAGCCAUUUUGCAUUUUCUUGUUUGGGCGACUUCGGAAUAUCAAAUUUUUCACCAGGCCCGGUCGUCCUGCCAAAUUUCAUGAGUUUUCGCGGGUGGGAAGUGGGCCAUUUUCCAGUUCAAAGGGGAGGAAAAAUAAUAAUAACAAAAGAAGGAAACUACAGGAACAAGAGGGCUCUCGCAGCUGCUUAGCAGCUACGCUCGGGCCCUAACUAGGACCCCGUUGGGGCACUGGCGGGCCCGAGCUGUGUCGCGUCCCCCCCCCCAACGCGCUGCCUCCCCGUCCCAUUUGUGUCCUCUGGCCAUC